rnacentral:rRNA from 1 species
GACAGAGGUGCCAAGCGUUAGGCGGAAUCACUGGGCUUAAAGCGUGUGUAGGUGGAUUUGUAAGUACCUUGUGAAAUCCCAUGGCUCAACCAUGGAACUGCUCGGUAUACUGCGAAUCUUGAGCCACUUAGGGGCUACCGGAACAAAUGGUGGAGCGGUGAAAUGCGUAGAUAUCAUUUGGAACGCCCAAUGGUGAAAACAGGUAGCUGGGGAGUGUGCUGACACUGAGA